rnacentral:rRNA from 1 species
UACGUAGGGGGCAAGCGUUGUCCGGAUUUAUUGGGCGUAAAGAGCGUGUAGGCGGCCAGGUAGGUCCGUUGUGAAAACUCGAGGCUCAACCUCGAGACGCCGAUGGAAACCAUCUGGCUAGAGUCCGGAAGAGGAGAGUGGAAUUCCCGGUGUAGCGGUGAAAUGCGCAGAUAUCGGGAGGAACACCAGUGGCGAAGGCGGCGACCUGGGCCAAUAUUGACGCUGAGGUGCGAAAGCGUGGGGAGCAAACAGG